rnacentral:rRNA from 1 species
UUUGGAUUUCUGCUCAGAUUGAACGCUGGCGGCAGGCUUAACACAUGCAAGUCGAGCGGUAACAGAAGAAAGCUUGCUUUCUUGCUGACGAGCGGCGGACGGGUGAGUAAUGCUUGGGUAUAUGCCUUAUGGUGGGGGACAACAGUUGGAAACGACUGCUAAUACCGCAUAACGUCUACGGACCAAAGGGGGGGAUCUUCGGACCUCUCGCUAUUAGAUAAGCCUGCGUGGGAUUAGCUAGAUGGUAGGGUAAUGGCCUACCAAGGCGACGAUCUCUAGCUGGUUUGAGAGGAUGAUCAGCCACACUGGGACUGAGACACGGCCCAGACUCCUACGGGAGGCAGCAGUGGGGAAUAUUGCACAAUGGGGGAAACCCUGAUGCAGCCAUGCCGCGUGUGUGAAGAAGGCUUUCGGGUUGUAAAGCACUUUCAGCGAGGAGGAAAGGAUGCCGCUUAAUAUGCGGUAGCUGUGACGUUACUCGCAGAAGAAGCACCGGCUAAUUCAGUGCCAGCAGCCGCGGUAAUACGGAAGGUGCAAGCGUUAAUCGGAAUUACUGGGCGUAAAGCGCGCGUAGGUGGUUUAUUAAGUCUGAUGUGAAAGCCCCGGGCUCAACCUGGGAACUGCAUUUCGAACUGACAAACUAGAGUUUUGUAGAGGGUGGUAGAAUUUCAGGUGUAGCGGUGAAAUGCGUAGAGAUCUGAAGGAAUACCAGUGGCGAAGGCUGCCACCUGGACAAUAACUGACGCUCAUGUACGAAAGCGUGGGGAGCAAACGGGAUUAGAUACCCCGGUAGUCCACGCCGUAAACGAUGUCAACUAGCCGACUGGAGACUUGAUCUGUGGGUAGCGAAGCUAACGCGAUAAGUUGACCGCCUGGGGAGUACGGCCGCAAGGUUAAAACUCAAAUGAAUUGACGGGGGCCCGCACAAGCGGUGGAGCAUGUGGUUUAAUUCGAUGCAACGCGAAGAACCUUACCAUCCCUUGACAUCCACAGAACUUUCCAGAGAUGGAUUGGUGCCUUCGGGAACUGUGAGACAGGUGCUGCAUGGCUGUCGUCAGCUCGUGUUGUGAAAUGUUGGGUUAAGUCCCGCAACGAGCGCAACCCCUAUCCUUAUUUGCCAGCGUAAAUGGCGGGAACUAUAAGGAGACUGCCGGUGAUAAACCGGAGGAAGGUGGGGACGACGUCAAGUCAUCAUGGCCCUUACGGGAUGGGCUACACACGUGCUACAAUGGGCGGUACAGAGGGUCGCAAAGCUGUGAGGUGGAGCCAAUCCCACAAAGCCGUUCGUAGUCCGGAUUGGAGUCUGCAACUCGACUCCAUGAAGUUGGAAUCGCUAGUAAUCGUGAAUCAGAAUGUCACGGUGAAUACGUUCCCGGGCCUUGUACACACCGCCCGUCACACCAUGGGAGUGGGUUGCUCCAGAAGUGGUUAGCCUAACCUUCGGGAGGGCGAUCACCACGGAGUGAUUCAUGACUGGGGUGAAGUCGUACAAG